CUAUUCCAAAUACGCUUUUAAACUAUACAAAUGAUGAAAGUUAUUGUUGUUUUUAAGCGUUUAUUAGCAAGUGGGAACGACCAACAUGGCCGCCAUCUAUUCAAAUGGGGGUAACCGCUGGAAUAUUGUUGGCUUCAAUUUUACUAAAAGAGAUGCGCUAUCUAGUGUAUAUAAGAUAUCUAUGGUUGUUACAUGUGUUGGAGACUGUUAUUGUUAUUGUUGUUAUAGACACAGAAUUUUCCAGAACAUUCUGUAAAUAUUCAAUAUAAAUAUAAUAUCUCAGUCAAACAAUGACAACAGGGGCCCCCACACCAAAUAUGCCUAAGGGUCCCCUCUUCCUCCGUUACGCCACUGCCU